CACACGCACGCACGCACACGCAUGCACGCGCACACACACACACACACGCCCGCCCGCCCGCCCGGCUCCGCUCCGCUCCCCUCCCGAGCUGCCUCAGCAAGGAGGAGCCCGGACGGAAAACACCAGGGCAGCAAGGAUUUGGAAGUGGAGUUCCUGGAAAGUGAACCUGGCAACGAGUGCAGGUUUCCCUGAAAGCUGAGGCUCUUUCUUAUUCCCUAGGAGACUGAGAAGAGAGGGGACCCUGGAUGUCAGCCCCAUCUCUGUUUUUUUAUUUGUCUUGACUUUGAGGCAGAUUUCCUCUUUCAGCUCUGGGAAUCGACAGGUCCAGCUAUCCGCUCCCUAGAGCUGCCUGCUUGCACAGCUACUCAGACUGACUGACUGACUGACUUAACCUUCCUUCUAUUGUCGACGACCCGUCUCCUUUAUUUGUAUCACACUCUUCUGACUGGCUGGUCAGUAAGUCCUAAUAAUAAUCACAUUUCAUGUCUUAGAAAUCUAAUAGUCAAGUUACUCAUUCUUAUAAAUUACAGCUAAGCUAUUUGGGUUAGUCGUGUUACCCCCACUUUAAAAGGCAGGGAAACUGAAACAGGAAAAUUAACAUAUUUGCUUGAGGCCACACAUGGAUUUAAGAGUAGAUCCAGGACUGGAACUGAAUUUAGACCAAGCUCCCUCUUAAAGAUCCUCAAGUGCGCUAUGGAAAACGCUUCUUUAAAAAAGAAAUGUAAUGUAAAUGUUAUUUUUCAUCAAUUUUGUAUAUUAGUCAAAAUACACACACUUUUUUUUAGAUCACAUUUCUUAUUCUAAAGGUAAGAUUUAUCCGGCUUUUUAAAAAGUGUGGUGAUACCUUUCAACUACAUAGGGCUGUUUACUUUGGAAACAAGAAACAUUUAAUAUGAGAUUGUGAGCAGUAAUGGGAACAGAAUUGCUCGUUAUUAGGUUACUGUAAACAGUAUUUGCUGCAUGUUACGGGCCAACAAAAUAUAACGAGAAGUCCGGCAUUAGUAUAGAUAAGGUGCUAUUGCUUACCUAGUGUGCAUCGGUUUUCACCAUAAUGCUCCUUCAGUGCUUUCAGUAUCAAAAUACUUAGCAUGGGUCUAAACACUGAAAAGCAUACGGGAGAACCAUAUACUGUGUUUGAGAGUUAUGGUUUAUGUCAUUAAGCAGUGAGUUUUACCAAGUUGUGUCACUCAUGUCAAUGAAGCAAGAUGUAUAUUGCCUGCCCUUUAGCUGCGGCAUGUCAUCAAAGCUGUAUUAUGGUAUGACUGAGUGCAGAUGGCAUGCCUAAAAAGCAGGUGUACAAUGUAACUUUCCUAUUACUGACACUUAGAUAUUUCCUCUUCCUCAGUGUCCACCCCCAGAUGUUUGCUUGCCCAGCCUUCUACAGGAACUACAGAAAGUCCUGCUCAUCCUGCUCAUCCCUAAUGGCUGGAAUUGUACAGUCAAAACCUAUACAGAACAAGUGUUCACAUAUAUUUUUAUGUAUUUAUGCUGACAGCUCUAUUCUGAGCUUUUUUAGAGUCCUGAUCUGAGGGAAGUGGGUGCAGAUCUCAUUCAAAUAAUCAUUCUCCAAUACCAUUACAUUACCUGCCAAAAAUGAAAGUGGCAUAUGAAUCACAAUAAGCCACUCAUGAAUUUGUGGAUUUAGAGCCUGCCAAGGAACACCAGAAAUCCACAUGAUUUCAAAGUCCCAUGAGUUUUAGGGACUUUGAACAAUGUGUAAAAGUACAUUUAUCCAAAGGCCAUCUUAUUGAUGACCCAUCCUAUAAGGACUACAGACAUAACCAAUUCAAGUGAAGGACAACAUUAACUGAAAAUAUUUCUGUUCAAAUCUUUCAAGUGAGGUAGUGAAAGUGGUGAAUCUGCUAAUUGAAACCAUGUCAGAGACCCUUCCUGAGGUGCCCCUUAUUGAAGUGCUACUGUGACAUAAUGAUGUGGAAAUAUGCUUUUGUGUGAGAAGAGCUAUUGGAUCUUCUGGGAACUAUCACAGAUGCUUUCCAGUUCCUUUCAGACAUGUAAAUAUCUUUAUGUUUAGACAUGAGUUGAGCGGUGUAGGAAAUGAAGCCGAGUGAGGCUUGGAGUGGGGUUAAAAGCAUCCACAUAGAUCCAGGAACCAAGUAAAUACAUGUGAGGGUUUUUUUCUGUAUCUGAUGUUAGCUAGGGCUUGAAAUGAAAUGUCCAUUAUUAACAAGAAGCGCUGCAUGAACGUAUGCAUACUUGAGAGUUAUAUUGACCCAUAGUUGAUAGAGAAGGCCAUCUUCUGCCUGAAAUUACAGAUGAUCAACAGAACUCUCAGUAAUGCUCAGAUACUUAGGUUGUUCCCAAGUAAUAUGUACCUUAUCAAGUAUGGUUUAUUUCCAGUUUGUAGUAUAUGGCUAAUGCUACAGCAGUCAAAAACACUACAUGCCACCUAGCACUUCUUAUGAUUGCUUGCUUUCUUCAUGGUUUGCUUUAAGCUAAGCACUUCAGAAACUGAAAAUAACAUUUGAGUCUUUUUUUCCCCCUUAACAUACAAAAACAGCAGCAUAAGUUUUGUAAUCUACUUAUAUGUUAGUACUUGUGAAACGUAGCAAAAAACCCUGCUUACUAGCAUGGUCUACACAUAGCUGUCUCAGCAGCUUCAUGAAAUAUGAAGACUUGGUUUGAGUAACUAUGUUCCAACCGGUAUUAGCGUUAUCUGUCCUAGAUGAAAAUGGCAGUGAACAAAUACAACCAUGCUGGAGUGGCCUUCUGUGCAUAUUUUAAAUGCAAGUGGGCAUUGUCAGCUGUACCAUAACCUUGUCUGAUGUUUCAUCUGGCUUGUGGCUCAGUGGAAGACACUCAGAUGACUUUUUCUGAAUGUGGCUGCUGCUUUCAGUGUAUUUCUGCAGUCUUUUGAUUAUUUUACUCUUUGUUGGUUACACACCAAUCUUCUGGGCUUAGGCCUAUGCUGCCUCACUAUCUGAAUGCCUCUCUUGAAAAUUUGUUCACUGAAAUGGGCAUCACGUCAAUAAUAACAAAUAAAUCUGUCCAUCUCCAGACUGGGUUAAGUUUCCUCCAAUCAUUCACUGAAGGUUCGUGUUUCCAGGCUCUGAUGCUACAGGUACCUCGAUCUGUUCAGCUUCUCUCCAAGGUGAUAACUACUUUCUGUUCCACAUCUCUGUUACAGGAGAUCUUUUGAUUACCUAUAAAAGUAAGCUGCAUCCUGUAGAUUUCCUCUUAAAACUUCUGCUUUACGGAAGAGAAGAUCAACUUGUUGCAGGUGCAUCAAUGGCAUCAAGCUCGCUUCUCUUUUGCCUGACUGCCGUUUCCAUCUUCUGUCAGUCUAAAAUUACCAUUUUUGAAAGGAUUGAAGGAGUUGUAUUUAUUAAUAUUUGUGUGAACCAUUUUUCUUGCACAUUGUCUGUUCUUCUUUUCUUCUUCCCCUUGGUGUCUGGUUCAUCUUGGCAGCUUUUAAAAAUUCUGUUGCCUCUAGUGAGGGACUGCCAGAUUAAACCAGUGAAGAGAAACCAGGUGACUGUCUACUUUUACAAAUAUAGGUUGUGUAUAAUAAAUUCAGGUUUUACAUCUAUGCAAAUUAAAUCAUCAUAUGAUUCUGACUACAUGCAUUUUUUAUCAAAUAUGGCAUAUAUUUCACAAAUUAUAUUUAACUUAUAGUCAUGUUGCUAUUCUGAAUACCUAGCUAGGAGUUACAAGGUGUGCCACUAGAUCUUAGUAAAUAGGCUUAUGAAAACAGAAGAAAUAAGAGAAAAUCACCUUUUUUUCUUGUAUUCCUGGUAAGUCAGUGGAAAGGCUUUUCCUGCUAUAGGUGAUGAUAUAAACACCUCACCACUAAGCUGUUUAGAGACACAAGUACAUCUUGUUACUAGAAAUGUAGAGAUUUUGUAAAGGCCUAAACAGAACAUGCCCAGAAUAAAGAAGUUCUAGAGCAAUGUGUCUUUUUGUCUGGAGUUUACCGCAUCUAGUUAGUAAGGCCUUCCGCUAAUGGUUCUGUCAUGGAGUGGAAGACAUUAGUCACAAUGUCAAAAUAAACAUUUUACUUCCGCAAAAUUAUAUUUUCACCUCAGGAAUAUUGUGAAGUGAAAAUAGGAUUUAGCACAAUUCUUCCUUGGGGGUUUAUUGACAGACGGGGCAGUUUUAGUGUAAGGCCCUAAGCCUUGCAAUACGAUCCCCAACCAUAGGUGCACGAUACUUUGAAUAAUCAAUCUGUCAGCUGAGCUAUGAAAAGGAUUAUGCUGUGAAGGUAACAACUCAAUGGUUUCACUGUUAAUUGUCCUCGGCAACUGCUGCUGUUUUUUUCAUAAAUAAAACAAUAUUUUGGUGAGCACAAA